rnacentral:rRNA from 1 species
ACACGACUACAUUAGAUACCCGUGUAGUCCUAGCCGUAAACGAUACUCGCUAGGUGUCGGCCACGGUGCGACCGUUGUCGGUGCCGUAGGGAAGCCGUGAAGCGAGCCACCUGGGAAGUACGGCCGCAAGGCUGAAACUUAAAGGAAUUGGCGGGGGAGCACCGCAACGGGAGGAGCGUGCGGUUCAAUUGGAUUCAACGCCGGACAACUCACCAGGAGCGAAGGUUACAUGAAGGCCAGGCUGAUGACCUUGCCUGAUUUUCCG